rnacentral:rRNA from 1 species
CCUUCCGUAGGGUGAACCUGCGGAAGGAUCAUUAUAGAGGGCUAAGGCUCCCUGUUUGAUAUUAAAAACAUUGAUAUUUUYUUCUAUGUUGKUUCCSCCCMCUAUAACAUGGACCAAACACUUGACCGAGUUAUACAUGGGUGGGGGGCUUUUUCCNCNCUAUUUUUUUGCUGAGACUUUUCAACUGUCUGAAUAUAUGAGGGAAAAUGUUACAAAACUUUCAACAACGGAUCUCUUGGCUCCUGCAUCGAUGAAGAACGCAGCGAAAUGCGAUAAUUAAUGUGAAUUGCAGAAUUCCGUGAAUCAUCGAGUCUUUGAACGCACAUUGCGCCUCAUGGCAUUCCGUGAGGCAUGCCCAUCUCAGCGUUAGAAAAUAUUCUCAAAUUUUAGUCUUGUGCUAAAGUUUGGAUAAUGUCAAGGAAGCUAUUACUAUUAUUGUGAUCGCUCUUUGGAAANUGAUAGGUCUUUGAGUUGCUAUUUACGGAACGUGAUGAAUAUUCCUUCGUUCCAUUGUAGUUCACUUGUAUAGUCCUAAAACUUGAA